CCAAAAACAUAGCCCUGGGAUAAAUCCAAGGUGAUACCUGCCCAAUGGUUUAAAAAUCUACUUAAAAAUAGAAAAGUCAACUUAAUGGCUGCAGUAUUCCUGACUGUAUUAAGGUAGCACAAUCAAUCGCCACUUAAUUGGUGGAUAGUAUGAAUGGUAUAACGAAAGUUUCACUGUCUCAAGUAUAUAAAGAAAAAAAUUGAAAUAGUAGUCAAGAUCCUAUUUAAAAUCGUAAGACGAUAAGACCCUAUAAAGCUUUACUGUUAAUAUUCAAAAAAAGAGUAUAAGACAGUUUACUUGGGGCAAGGACUUUUUAAAAAGAAAAAAAGUAAACAAAAUUAAUGAUCACAAUUUAUUGUAUAAACCAUGAUUUUAACAAUUACUAAGUAGGUUAUAAUGACCUGUUAACAUUGAAAAAAAAAGUUAACAAUCAGUUGAUAAAAGCUACUUUAGGGAUAACAGGAUAAUUUCAUCAAAGAGAUGUUAUCACUGAUGAAGUUUGUCACCUCGAUGUUGAAUUAAGAUAACCUAACGGAGCAAAAGCUGUUAAAGGUAGGUC
rnacentral:rRNA from 1 species